ensembl:lncRNA
GUUGAAUGGAACUUGUGCAGCUGUUUUUUACCCUUGCAGUCUGCUGUGUGCCCGUGCUGCGGGUUGAGCGGUGCCGUUGUGCGGGGCGGACGUUCGGGAGGGAUGCUUUUGCCCUUUAAUUAUCUCUGCCGGAGGCACAACCAGCAUUGCUCAUGGUUCAACUAUGACCAGUAGUGCUUCCCUUUUGAGGCUGGCUGGAGGUGUCUCUGGUCUGACAUGGGGCAGCCACUAGGCUCUACUCAUAGAAGCCACCCCUGCAGUCCGCUGCUACCAAAAA